rnacentral:rRNA from 1 species
GGUGACGUUACCUGGAUGGCCACACCCGUUCCCAUUCCGAACACGGCCGUUAAGCAUCCAGGGCCGAUGGUAGU